rnacentral:tRNA from 1 species
GUGGGUAUAGUUCAAGUGGUAGAGUGCGUGCUUAACAUGAACAAUGUCCUGGGUUCGAUUCCCAGUACCUCCU